CAUUAAUCAAACCGGCGCGACUCGCAAAUAAAGUCACCCAACAAUCGCAUUAGUGUUUCAUUAGAGACGGAGACAUUGUCGUUUUUUUCUAUUGACAAUAAAAGUUCCAAAUCAAUAUGUAACGAUCCUGUGUUGAAGUAUAUCUCAUGUAUAAGUUUCUGUCUUGCCUCUUCAUAAUUUUCACAAAAUAGUAAAUAAUGUUCCACAGUUUCUAAUUGACCGCAUUCACACUUUGGUUCUAUAUU
rnacentral:lncRNA from 1 species